CUUCUGAAGGCUGUUAAUGGGAAAUUCAGGAAUCAUCCUUGUCUUAAUAAACAGAAGCUACUAUAUGCUCCAAUGGGGGAGCUUUUAAUUCUACAGCCAGAUGAGAAAUUCUCACCUCAUCAUUAUCUCCUUCCCUCAGGCAGUGGUCUAUAUUUCUUAACUUGUCCAUCAUCUGACACUAGUGAUGCAGAGAAGCUGCUGCGGGCUGCACAGACAGUUUUCUUAAACUCACCCCAUCCACUUGAGAUUCUAAGUGAUCGCUCAGCAUAUGGUUCUGAAGGAACCAUUCAAAGGGAUCACGACAUGAAUUCUUACUUGAAAUCUGUGCGCAGUGUAAUUCGGCAAGAGCUAAACCACAUAAGAAAACGUAGGAGAGAGCAUCGCCGCAAGUUCUGGUGGUCCCUUCUGGCACCACG
rnacentral:misc_RNA from 1 species